GAUGAACGCUGGCGGCGUGCCUAAUACAUGCAAGUCGAGCGAACAGACGAGGAGCUUGCUCCUCUGACGUUAGCGGCGGACGGGUGAGUAACACGUGGAUAACCUACCUAUAAGACUGGGAUAACUUCGGGAAACCGGAGCUAAUACCGGAUAAUAUAUUGAACCGCAUGGUUCAAUAGUGAAAGACGGUUUUGCUGUCACUUAUAGAUGGAUCCGCGCCGCAUUAGCUAGUUGGUAAGGUAACGGCUUACCAAGGCAACGAUGCGUAGCCGACCUGAGAGGGUGAUCGGCCACACUGGAACGGGAACACGGUCAAGACUCCUACGGGAGGCAGCAGUAGGGAAUCUGACGCAAUGGGCGAAAGCCUGACGGAGCAACGCCGCGUGAGUGAUGAAGGUCUUCGGAUCGUAAAACUCUGUUAUUAGGGAAGAACAAAUGUGUAAGUAACUAUGCACGUCUUGACGGUACCUAAUCAGAAAGCCACGGCUAACUACGUG
rnacentral:rRNA from 1 species